UAAUAAAUCAGAGUCAAAUAUACAUAAAUGCUCUCUGGCGAAAGUGAGCUAUAUUAAGAACAUAUUUCAGUCGAUGCUCUCUAAAUAUGAAAUUCGAGUGAUAUUUCAAUUUAUCCAAAAUGCGACCUACAAAUAUACAAAUGUAUACACAAUAGUAGGAGAGAAACAGAGCAACGAUGGAGGAGCAUUAGUUGAUUAACCAGUCGAUGAAAAUGGCUACUCCUACCCAGAAGUGGAUGCGGGAGUUGUCAAGGAGUCGAGGAGCAAGGAUUCCGGGGAACCAAGCCAAGCCAAACCAAACCAAGUCGAAGCAAAACGUAGCGAAGUGAAACGGACUUGAAUUCCGGAUUCUCCAAAUUAAUGCUAAUUGAAGUGCAUGACUUUUGUUUUCGGCUUCAAAUGCCCCAAACAAAUGCCAGGAGUUCUAGGUUCUGCAGAAACAAACAAUGCCAAGCUUCAAAGCAAAAGGCAAUCAUUAAGUGAAUGAACUGAAUGAAUGGCCAAUUAACAAACGGCAAAGGAUAAAAUCACAGCACGAAAGGAUCUUCGGAGGACACUAAGCCACUCCAAUGGAAUGCAAUCAAUGGGAGAUAUUCUGAAUGAAAGUCCUCAUGAAUUACAAAGUGAACAAGGACAGCAGCCAGGCAAAAGAGCUGGCAAAAUGGUUUGAAUGCUUUGUGAUGGAAGGAUAUAUAUACAUUUAAAAACCUAAUGAUCGGAGGAAUAAAAUGGAAAGUUCUAGAAUUUUGGUAUUUACCUAUCUACAAAGAACACGAGUCGUUGGAGACGAAGUUCGGGUCCCAAAAUAACACUGGCUAUGGCACUCGCAAAAAAACUUUAGAAAACAAUCGGGCAACAAGCACUUGUUUUCGAAAACAAAACAAAAAACAACAUACAACAAUUAUGAGUAAUAAGUGUAACUAUUUGCACAACGCGCCACUCGGGCAAGGACUCUUGCCAAAAGUCCUGCUAGAAUUCCAGAAUCGUUUCGAAAACUGAGUUCACUUUGGUUGGAUAAAUUGGCAAAGACUCGGCUGGGAUUCGGUGUGGAUCCACUCGACUGAACUGAACCGACGCGCUAGGAAGUUGCCCGAGCACUGAACCUGUCGCGCCAAGCGCCUUUCGCAUUGGACCGACCUAGCGCAACGCGCUCGUCCUUCGGCAGCCCACGAUGUCCUGUGCCAUCCUGCCGACGAUGUCCCACUGUCCCGAUGUCUCCCGCUAUCCCAUGUCCCGUUAUGUUAUCCCACGAGCCCACGCAAUCGCCCGAAGUGGCCCGAAGUCAGCCGAAAGCCGUUUGCCAGGAUAACGAUUCGGGGCAUCGCAUGCUUCGUGUUUUGGUUAGCCGAAUCUAACCAGGCAACAUGUUGCCAGCAACAUUGUGAAGUCGUUGCCAGGAUUAUAAUAAAAACUAUAUCUGCUGCACAAAUUAAAAACAAAUCACAACAACUAAAUGAGUAAAUCGAACGAAAGGCUAAAGGAUGCACUUAUUACAACAGAUCCCAGGUUAAUUAAACGGCGCAUCAGGUGCACACAAAGUGCAAUCAGCCGGAUCAUUACCGAGAUUAAAAUCAAAAUGAAUUAGCAGGCAAGUGAGCAACUCGAUUGGCAUUAUUCAUUAUCCGGCGAAUGUGCUGCAAAUGAAGAGCAGGCACAAUGAUGCCAACUCCCAACGAGUAUCUUCAGUGCAACAAAUAUUUAAAUGACAGGUUAUUUCAAAGGUCUCCCUACUUCUCUCGCUGUGUAUACAAGUCCUCCCUGGCAUCCUUAACCAAGAAAAGUGAAAAGGACUUGACCUGAAUGACUUGUAAAUCCAGGGAUUACUCUGAAGAUGUUCGCGGAAGAUCAGCAUUCAAUUGUACCUGUUUUUGGAUUCUUCUAUCCUGACAUCACAGCCCGAGUCCUUCGUCCUUUGGUCCCCUGUCCAUAUUAUGUAUUCGCGACAAGGAGCCAUCAUAUUGGCCUGGCCCUCGUCCAAAUUGUGAACGCCAAAGGAGCAGAGAAAAUGAGGACGAGCAUCAGGACGAAGGGCAGGCAGCUGGCGGUGGCGUUUUUAAUGUUGCCAACAAUUUUUAAGACAUCGACUGGCAGCGAAGGAGUUGGCGGUGGCGGAAAGGUGGAAGGCAUUUCAGCUUGACAGGCCGGCAGAACAGGAGCAAGGACCGAGGACGAGGACGAGGCGACGCACGCUUAAGCAUAAGUACUUCCGACUUUAAAAGGAUGUCACAUCCGGUUUCGCUUCUGGAGCGUGAAGCGCAGACUGGCGACGCGAUAAGAGCCGCAACCAGACUCUGACUCCGGCGAACCUGCUGGGCUGGGUACCAGCAAGGGCAAUCCGGAAUUGGGAGAAUCAUGAGAACCAGGAGAACCGAGAGAACCAGGAGAGCCAACCACAACUUAAAGGUGCAACAGUUUGACAGGCUUAAGGCAUUGUCCAGGCCCCUUGUCCUUGCCACCCAAUGCAAAAACGGAGAAGCCGAUGGCAGGAAGGACCAAGCUAGGUCGCUCAAGGAGCAAAGCUGCUUAGGGGGCACACUUGAUGCCAGUGUGACCGAACCGGAAUCUCACGAUAAGGAGGAGCUGGCACGCAUCAAAAGCGGCUUCCCAGGUGCAGCAGGAUCACAAGAAAGCAUAGAAGAAGAGCUAGAAAAAAUGGUAGGUGGAAGUCCUUCAAUUCUUUUCUAACCUCCCCAGAGACUUCGUUUUAUACCCUAGCAAGGACAUUAUAAUUUUAGUCCGAAGCUUCAAAAGCAGUACGGGAGUCAUUUCCGAUCCUAAAAAUCAUAUAAAUUCUUGAUCAGAAUUAAAAGCCAAAUCCAUUUAACCAAGAGAUUACAUCGUUAAAAUUUUCAAAAGUGGUAUAAAAAUUUACAUUUU